AUUGAACGCUGGCGGAAUGCUUUACACAUGCAAGUCGAACGGCAGCACGGGUGCUUGCACCUGGUGGCGAGUGGCGAACGGGUGAGUAAUGCACCGGAACGUAUCCAAUAAUGGGGGAUAACGCACCGAAAGGUGUGCUAAUACCGCAUACGCCCUGAGGGGGAAAGCGGGGGGAUCGUAAGACCUCGCGUUAAUGGAGCGGCCGAUGCCGGAUUAGCUAGUUGGUGAGGUAAAGGCUCACCAAGGCGACGAUCCGUAGCUGGUCUGAGAGGACGACCAGCCACACUGGAACUGAGACACGGUCCAGACUCCUACGGGAGGCAGCAGUGGGGAAUUUUGGACAAUGGGCGCAAGCCUGAUCCAGCCAUUCCGCGUGAGUGAAGAAGGCCUUCGGGUUCGGUUAAAGG
rnacentral:rRNA from 1 species